UGUAUUUUUCCUGGGGGUUGAAAUGUCUAACACAUUUAAGGUGAGAGGAGAUAUGAGCGGCAAGUUUGCUUCUUUCCACAGACGAAUGAGUAGCUGGAGUCUCUGCCUGGGAGAGUGGGGGGGGAGGUGGCUCCAAUCCUGCACGUGAUCCCGUUUGCCCCUCCCAUUUAACCGUAGAUUGGCAGCACCUGCGCGUCAGUUUCCGAGGCCCCGCCUCCCGAUGAUGUAACAAUCUCUUCGCGCAUGUUCACAGUCUCCGGGUGGACGGUGUUAUCCUCUCCGCUCAGUGGGUCGGCUGUAUUACCGGGAAAGACUUUCGUCUCUUCCGUCGGGAUCACUGUCUGCGGGCCGAAGAUAUCACUUCCCCAUCGUUAGACCUGCAGUGACAGAUUUAUUGGAAGAAAAACCACAACUGAAGACGAGGGAACAGCAACAAGUGAACCAGCCCGAGGACUGAGAGCACCGACUGGAGAGGACCCAUCUGACUUGGAGAUUCCAUUGAUUCAGUCCGGAGAAAGUUUGGUCGAAUUGCGAGCUCAACACUCAAUCCGGCACGGAUGGAAAGCGUACAAGGGAGCGACUGUAUUCGAACCCAGGGACCUCCGUUACGGAGUCCGGCGCUGACGUCACUACGCCACCAGGACCUUGGGCAAGACUCCCAGAAGAUUAGUUUACGGGUUGAGUCUAUGGUAACGAAGGCAACUGCAAUGCUGGCUUUAUUUAAAGUGAAGUAGAAUAUACUAGCAAGGAGAUAAUGCUGUUACUUUAUAAGAGACUACUCAGGCCACACGUCAGAACAUAAGAAAUGGGAGCAGGAGUCGGCCAUUGGCCCAUUGAGCCUGCCCCGCCAUUCAAUAAAAUCAUGGCUGAACUCAGCUCCAUCUACCAGCCUUUUCCCUAUAACCAUUAAUUACCUUAUUCUGCAAAAACCUAUCUAACUGUAUCUUAAAUAUACUUCGUGAGGAAACCUCAACUGCUUCCCUGGACAGAGAAUUCCACAGAUUCAGCACUCUCUGGGAAAAACAGUUUCUCCUCAUCUCCGCCCUAACUCUUCUCUCCUGAAUCUUGAGGCAAUGUCCCCAAGUUCUAGUCUCAUCUACCAAUGGAAACAACUUUCCUACUUCUAUCUUAUCUAUCCCUUUCAAA